GUGUCUGUAGCUCAGUUGGUAGAGCCCCGGAUUGUGAUUCCGGUCGUCGUGGGUUCGAGUCCCAUCAGACACCCCA
rnacentral:tRNA from 1 species